CCUACGGGGGGCUGCAGUGGGGAAUAUUGGACAAUGGGGGGAACCCUGAUCCAGCCAUGCCGCGUGUGUGAAGAAGGCCCUCGGGUUGUAAAGCACUUUCAGUGAGGAAGAACGCCUGGUGGUUAAUACCCAUCAGGAAAGACAUCACUCACAGAAGAAGCACCGGCUAACUCCGUGCCAGCAGCCGCGGUAAUACGGAGGGUGCGAGCGUUAAUCGGAAUUACUGGGCGUAAAGCGCGCGUAGGUGGCUUGAUAAGCCGGUUGUGAAAGCCCCGGGCUCAACCUGGGAACGGCAUCCGGAACUGUCAAGCUAGAGUGCAGGAGAGGAAGGUAGAAUUCCCGGUGUAGCGGUGAAAUGCGUAGAGAUCGGGAGGAAUACCAGUGGCGAAGGCGGCCUUCUGGACUGACACUGACGCUGAGGUGCGCAAGCGUGGGUAGCAAACAGGAUUAGAUACCCUAGUAGUC
rnacentral:rRNA from 1 species